UACGUAGGGUGCAAGCGUUGUUCGGAUUUACUGGGCGUAAAGCGCACGUAGGCGGAUCGUUAAGUCGGGGGUGAAAUCCUGGAGCUCAACUCCAGAACUGCCUUCGAUACUGGCGAUCUUGAGUCCGGAAGAGGUGAGUGGAACUCCUAGUGUAGAGGUGGAAUUCGUAGAUAUUCGGAAGAACACCAGUGGCGAAGGCGACUUACUGGACACAUAUUGACGCUGAGGUGCGAAAGCGUGGGGAGCGGACAGG
rnacentral:rRNA from 1 species